GUGCUCGCUUGGACAACACUUAUACUACAACUGGAAUGAUACAGAGAUUCGCACAGACCCUGCGCAAGGAUAACAUGCAAAUUCGUGGAACCCAUGAGCUCCUG
ensembl:snRNA U6 U6 spliceosomal RNA